UCUCCCCACUUAGCUUCAGGCAUGUGAGUCUGGUGUCCAGGCACUCAGGGACACCCAGACAGUCAGGGAGGGAAACGGCAGGUAGACAAAGUACCACCAGAGCCGAUGGUGGAGCGCAUUGGCCACUGCCUGAAACCGGGGACUUAACACCUCUAUGUGUGAGAUUUGAAGUUCUUAGAGGAAUGAGCUUGGAAACAGAUGUCCCCCUAGACGAAACAGAUGUCCCCCUAGACCUUCCAGAGGACAACUCAGCCCUGCUGAUUUCAGCCCUGAGCAGAGGACCCAGCCACACCAUGCUGGAUUUGCUACAGAACUGUGAGCUAAUAUGAAAUAAAUAGGACUUUAGAGAAAAGAUUAUCCAGUAUUAUUUGACAUAAUAAAACAAAUGACCUUUCUGUGGACUCCAGAAUAAUUACAGCCAGCAGAACUUUCAGACUUUAAUGAAAGGGCAAAGGAAAUUUUUUGUAUUUAAAACUCCAUGCAACUGUGAAAUCAAGGCACCGCCACCUAACCUGAAAUUGGAAAUGAUUAGCCUGCGACAUGACGUCAAAUUAAAAGGCAAGUAUCAGAGGAAUCUACUACAAGAGAAUUCUGUAAAUGUCUGGUUCCAAAGGAUGAAUAUAAUCAAGUAAAUCGUAUGUUCGUGGAUGCAUAUCAGUAUUUGGUAGUACAUGUAUGUGUAAGAAGAGAUUUAUAAGGGUAAAAUACAUAAAAAUUAAUCAAGUUGGUCAUAGGUAAUGCAGAUUUUGAAGCCCUGUUAAGCAAAAUGUAUCCCUUCCACAAAAGAAUUUCAUUUUACCCAAUAAUAGAGCUGUAUUCCUAUUACCAAAACACCUCAAUUAUUAUCACCUCAUGACAUAUUAUUGCAUCUUAAUUUUUGUCAAUGAAAAAUGUAGGUAUUUGUGCUCUUUCCUUAUAUUUAAGUACCUGCCUAACACCUUCAACUUUGCCCCUCA